CACUGCUUUUGCCUCCCUGCCUGCCAACCUCUGUCAUGCCUGCUUCAGACUUGCAGAAGCACAAGCCAGAUCCCUGUUUCAACCUUUUCCAGUUUCCAUCCAUGUUUCCUGAACGGAUAUAAAGUCUCACUUGGGUUUAGGUAAGAGCGGCCAACUUUAUUUUGGCUGCCACCGCCCGGCUGCUGCUGCCGGCGCAGCCUCCUGGAGGCCCCCUCCCUGCACCUGCACGCACGCCCUCUGGGCUGCGCGGUUUUGCCAAGCCCCGCCCCUGCUGGGUUUGCCUGUCCCCCAGAAUCCCAGAAGAGCUUGGAUUCUCACGCAUCCAUGCCUCUGCUGCGUCCUUCAGCCCUGCCCCUCUCCCUCCCACCGUAACUCUGCUCUGACCCUCCACAGCUCAUGCAGAGUGGCAGCUCAAGCAGAAUGGCGGUGGAGGGUGGGGACCUGGCAUUUGCUGAGAAAUGCUGCUGAGUGGGGUGUGGCUGCACCCUCAGCCCCCUAUCUCUUCCCGAGACGUCUGAAUAUACUGAGGGUGGCAGGAAUGUAGCCGGGACUCACUGGAAUUCGUCUCUCACCAGCCUGUGAACUACUGUUUCAGAUGUCCUCCGUGAGCAGGGAACCCUACCUGUGGCUCCCGGAUGUAGGCUGUUCUGGUCUGACCACUUUGUAAUAAAGCUCUCCUACAGGGCUUUAUAGUAUCCAAGACACUGACAUCAAGGAACUCCUUUGAUCCUUCUGCAACUUGUAAAGUGGGAUGAGCCAGAGUAUCAUUAUCUGCAUUUUACAGAUGGGGAAACUUGAGGCUCUGAUUAAAAUGAGGGUUCAGUGUCACAUUGCUGCAAGUCAAGAUUUCUGUCGCCUUAUUGGGAAUUCCCUGGUGGCCCAAUGGUUAGAACUCAGCACUUUGACUGCUGUGGGCCCAGGUUCAAUCCUUGGUCGGGGAAGAAAGAUGCUGCAAGCUGUGUGACAUGGCUCCACCCACCCAUCCUCCAAAAAAAAAAAUAAAUAAAUAA